ensembl:snRNA U6 U6 spliceosomal RNA
GUGCUCAUUUCAGCAGCACACAUAUAAAAACUGGAAUGAUACAGAGAAAAUGAAUGUGGGCCCUGUGCAAGUAUGGCAUGCUAAUGAAGUGUUCCAGAAAAUA